GGCAUCGUAAAUAUCCAGAAUGAGGGCUGAAGCAGGCCAAUGGGAUGCCACUGAGUGCAAGUUCAAUGAAGGAUGUUUGCAGGCAGACAGCAAAUUAUGAGGAGGAAGACAGAGGCUACAAAGGGAGAUUACAGGCUCGAUGGUAAUCCUAAAGAUGAAGGUGACUGCAGUGCUCUCUUUCUUCUUUCUAACUUUCUUCCUGGGGUGAUGGGGGGGCAUGUGCUGUGUACCCCAACGUGGGUUGCAGGAACAGGGCAGCCCUCAGUCCCCAGGCUGACACUUUGGUGCUGGUGGGUCCCCAGCAUUUGCUGGGGGUUAGUAUGCAAAAACACCAGGGG
ensembl:lncRNA